CAGUCGCCGCGGUAAUACGUAGGGUGCGAGCGUUAAUCGGAAUUACUGGGCGUAAAGCGUGCGCAGGCGGUUCGUUAAGACAGAUGUGAAAUCCCCGGGCUUAACCUGGGAACUGCAUUUGUGACUGGCGAGCUAGAGUAUGGCAGAGGGGGGUAGAAUUCCACGUGUAGCAGUGAAAUGCGUAGAGAUGUGGAGGAAUACCGAUGGCGAAGGCAGCCCCCUGGGAUAACACUGACGCUCAUGCACGAAAGCGUGGGGAGCAAACAGGAUUAGAUACCCCAGUAGUCCCUGUCUCUUAUAC
rnacentral:rRNA from 1 species